AUACGUAGGGUGCGAGCGUUGUCCGGAAUUACUGGGCGUAAAGAGCUCGUAGGUGGUUUGUCGCGUCGUCUGUGAAAUUCCGGGGCUUAACUCCGGGCGUGCAGGCGAUACGGGCAUAACUUGAGUACUGUAGGGGCGACUGGAAUUCCUGGUGUAGCGGUGAAAUGCGCAGAUAUCAGGAGGAACACCGGUGGCGAAGGGGGGUCUCUGGGCAGUAACUGACGCGGAGGAGCGAAAGCAGGGUUAGCGAACAGGAUUAGAUACCCUGGUAGUCCAUGCCGUAAACGGUGGGCGCUAGGUGUAGGGGUCUUCCACGACUUCUGUGCCGUAGCUAACGCAUUAAGCGCCCCGCCUGGGGAGUACGCCGCAAGGCUAAAACUCAAAUGAAUCGACGGGG
rnacentral:rRNA from 1 species